rnacentral:miRNA from 1 species
UAUGCCUGCUUGUAGAUCUGUU